rnacentral:rRNA from 1 species
AUUGAACGCUGGCGGCAUGCCUUACACAUGCAAGUCGAACGGCAGCACGGGGCAACCUGGUGGCGAGUGGCGAACGGGUGAGUAAUGCAUCGGAACGUGCCAUUGAGUGGGGGAUAACGUAGCGAAAGUUGCGCUAAUACCGCAUAUUCUGUGAGCAGGAAAGCAGGGGACCGCAAGGCCUUGCGCUCUUUGAGCGGCCGAUGUCAGAUUAGCUAGUUGGUGAGGUAACGGCUUACCAAGGCGACGAUCUGUAGCGGGUCUGAGAGGAUGAUCCGCCACACUGGAACUGAGACACGGUCCAGACUCCUACGGGAGGCAGCAGUGGGGAAUUUUGGACAAUGGGCGCAAGCCUGAUCCAGCCAUGCCGCGUGAGUGAAGAAGGCCUUCGGUUGGUUAAAGGUACGUCUUUCGGUCCGGGAACGGAAAGUACG